GUUUACGGUCGUAUCACGUUAAAAAAAACACCGGUUCUCGUCCGGUUGUCGAAGUUAAGCAACGUCGAGCGUAGUUAAAUACUUAAAUGGGUGGACCGCUCGGGUAACCUUUGAACUGCUUAGC
rnacentral:rRNA from 1 species